UACGUAGGGUGCAAGCGUUGUCCGGAAUUAUUGGGCGUAAAGGGCUCGUAGGCGGUCCGUCACGUCGGGAGUGAAAACUUGGGGCUUAACCCCAAGCCUGCUUCCGAUACGGGCGGACUAGAGGUAGGCAGGGGAGAACGGAAUUCCUGGUGUAGCGGUGAAAUGCGCAGAUAUCAGGAGGAACACCGGUGGCGAAGGCGACUGCCUGGCUUACAACUGACGCUGAGACGCGAAAGCGUGGGGAGCAAACAGG
rnacentral:rRNA from 1 species